rnacentral:lncRNA from 1 species
CCCCAUGGGGUCCCCAAUGUUCUCCUUGGGGUCCCCAAUGUCCCCUAUGGGUUCUCCAAGGGGACCCCAAUGUUCUCCAUGGGGUUCCUGAUGUUCUCCAUGGGGUUCCUGGUGUCCCCUAUGGGUUCUCCAAGAGGACCCCAACCUUCUUUAGGGUCCCUUAUGUUCCCCAUGGGGUCCCCAACGUUCUCCUUGGGGUCCCUGAUGUCCCCUAUGGGUUCUCCAAGGGGACCCCAAUGUUCUCCUUGGGGUUCCUGAUGUCCCCCAUGGGGUCCCCGAUGUCCCCAUGGGGUCCCCAAUGUUCUUGGGGUCCCCGACGUUCUCCCCGGGUUCCCUGGUGUCCCCCUGACGCUGUCCCCAUCUCGUCCCCAGUGCCACCACCAUGCCGCACCAGUACCCGGCGCUCACCCCCGAGCAGAAGCAGGAGCUCGCCGACAUCGCCCGGCGCAUCGUGGCCCCCGGCAAGGGCAUCCUAGCUGCCGAUGAGUCCACUGGUGGGCACUGGGAUGAACUGGGAGGGCACUGGGAGGGACUGGGGGGGGCUGGGAGGGACUGGUUUGGGGCUGGGAGGGACUGGUGGGCGCUGGGAGGGGGUUGACGGGCACUGGGAGGGCACUGGGAGCUGCUGGGAGCUACUGGGAGGCACUGGGGCACCACCAAGAGCCCAGGAGGACGUACUGGGACAUACUGGAUCAUACUGGGACAUACUGGGAUGGCUUCAAGGAGGAUGGGGAGGUGGCCAAGAACCUCGAGGUGGUACCAGGAGGUCCAUGAGAGCUCCUGGGAAGGCACUGGGAGCUACUGGGAGGCACUGGGGCACCAACAGGAGCCCAGGGGGACAUACUAGGACAUACUGGGAUGUACUAGGUCAUACUGGAACAUACUGGUACGGCUUCAGAGAGGAU